UAAUACGGAGGGUGCUAGCGUUGUUCGGAAUUACUGGGCGUAAAGCGCGUGUAGGCGGCCCGUUAAGUCUGAUGUGAAAGCCCGGGGCUCACCCCCGGAAGUGCAUUGGAGACUGAUGGGCUCGAGUCCCGGAGAGGAGGGUGGAAUUCCUGGUGUAGCGGUGAAAUGCGUAGAUAUCAGGAGGAACACCGGUGGCGAAGGCGGCCCUCUGGACGGUGACUGACGCUGAGACGCGAAAGCGUGGGGAGCAAACAGGAUUAGAUACCCUGGUAGUCCACGCCGUAAACGAUGAGCACUAGGUGUCGCGGGUAUUGACCCCUGCGGUGCCGAAGCUAACGCAUUAAGUGCUCCGCCUGGGGACUACGGCCGCAAGGCUA
rnacentral:rRNA from 1 species